CGGCGCACAUAAGACAUGCAAGUCGAACGGACUUAACUCAUCUUUUAGAUUGAGAGCGGUUAGUGGCGGACUGGUGAGUAACACGUAAGCAACCUGCCUAUUAGAGGGGAAUAACAACGAGAAAUCGUUGCUAAUACCGCAUAAGCUGAUAGUAUCGCAUGAUACAGUCAGAAAAGGAGCAAUCCGCUAAUAGAUGGGCUUGCGUCUGAUUAGCUAGUUGGUGGGGUAACGGCCUACCAAGGCGACGAUCAGUAGCCGAGCUGAGAGGCUCUACGGCCACAUUGGGACUGAGAUACGGCCCAGACUCCUACGGGAGGCAGCAGUCGGGAAUAUUGCGCAAUGGAGGAAACUCUGACGCAAGUGACGCCGCGUAUAGGAUGAAGGUUUUCGGAUUGUAAACUAUUGUCGUUAGGGAAGAGAUUUGACAGUACCUAAGGAGGAAGCUCCGGCUAACUAUGUGCCAGCAGCAGC
rnacentral:rRNA from 1 species